rnacentral:lncRNA from 1 species
UGGGGUUUUUUUUUUUCUGCAUGGAAUUUGGCUUUGGACCGGUUCUUUUGUAUGUUGUUUAAGAUUUGGGGCUCCUUUAGCUGCUGUUUAUUAUGUCGUAGUGAUUUGUGUGAGUGAGUAGCGAUGGCAAAGCUCAUAUUGUUUAAUUUUAGUCCUCUUUUUUUUGUCUGUUUGCUUUUGAAGCUAAAUUUGUUAGAUCUACUAAUGCUUGAAGUGACUUGAUACUCUUGAAAUUUUGUGUUUCUUGUUUGUUCUGUGUUUGCUUGUUUCAAGUUUGUGGCCUUUAACAGUUUUAGUUUGUUGGCAUUGAAGAAGAAAACGGUUGAUUUCCUAUGAUUUUGUCAGUAGGGUAGCUAUGUUUGUGUUAAAAAUAACAACUUGGUCGUGGAUUGUAAAUAUUGAGAUCUUUAAUUGUUUGUCGAUAUAUGUGGAACUACUUCUUCCAUCGAGACAUUGAGGGCUAAUGGAAAACUUGAGAAAGUGGGAAAAGUAGAUAUGUAAGAAGCUGUUGUGAGUGCUUGUUCGGAUUUGAUUUCUCCUUUCAUUUGUUUUCUCUGCAAUUAUGGUUUACCAAGAUUGGGAGAUUUUGCUUGAUGCUCUCAGUUCGUUUCGCUGUGGAGAUGAAUUCUCUCUUCUUACUCACCUUUCUUGUGUUGUCGGUUUCUGUUAGUUGAAAAAAUGGUUUUGAAUUUCUGUUUCCGUUCUUUGAAAAGGUUUUGUUUUCUCUUUUGGUAUUUGUUUCGCGAACCAUAACAAUUUAGUUAUUCAUCCUUUCCCCAAACUGGCAACUUUAUUGUUCAUGCAUUCGGUAUCUUUUUUAAAUUGGGUAACAUGCUUGUUUUUUUUUUUUUUCAGCUGAAUUAAUCGAUACUAUAAAACAUGAGUAUCAUUGACUUAUUAUGUGAACUCUUGUACAGCAUUCACUUUGUGCUAAUGCAUCAAUUGAUCAUUCUGUUUCCACCAAUUUUAAGAAUUCACUUUGCAUAAUAUAU